UACGGAGGGUGCAAGCGUUAUCCGGAUUCACUGGGUUUAAAGGGUGCGUAGGCGGGUUGGUAAGUCAGUGGUGAAAUCUUCAAGCUUAACUUGGAAACUGCCGUUGAUACUAUCAAUCUUGAAUGUUGUGGAGGUAAGCGGAAUAUGUCAUGUAGCGGUGAAAUGCUUAGAUAUGACAUAGAACACCGAUAGCGAAGGCAGCUUGCUACACAAAAAUUGACGCUGAGGCACGAAAGCGUGGGGGAUCAAACAGG
rnacentral:rRNA from 1 species